UACGUAGGGGGCAAGCGUUGUCCGGAAUCAUUGGGCGUAAAGAGCGUGUAGGCGGCCAGAAAAGUCCGCUGUGAAAACUCGGGGCUCAACUCCGAGCCUGCGUUCGAUACUGGAUGGCUAGAGUCUGGUAGGGGGAUCUGGAAUUCCUGGUGUAGCGGUGGAAUGCGCAGAUAUCAGGAGGAACACCGGUGGCGAAGGCGGGAUCCUGGGCCAGUACUGACGCUGAGGAGCGAAAGCGUGGGGAGCAAACAGG
rnacentral:rRNA from 1 species